CCUACGGGCGGCUGCAGUGAGGAAUAUUGGUCAAUGGGCGGAAGCCUGAACCAGCCAAGUAGCGUGCAGGAUGACGGCCUUACGGGUGGUAACCUGCUUUUAUACGGAAUAAACGCGCCUUACGUGUAGGGUUUUGCAUGUACCGUUUUAAUAAGGACCGGCUAAUUCCGUGCCAGCAUCGGCGGUAAUACGGAAGGUCCGGGCGUUAUCCGGAUUUAUUGGGUUUAAGGGGAGCGUAGGCCGCAUGUCAAGCGUACUGUGAAAUGUCCGGGCUCAACCCGGGCCUUGCAGCGCGAACUGGCGUGCUUGAGUCCGCGGAAAGCAGGCGGAAUUCGUCGUGUAGCGGUGAAAUGCUUAGAUAUGACGAAGAACCCCGAUUGCGAAGGCAGCUUGCUGCAGCGGAACUGACGCUGAUGCUCGAAAGCGCGGGUAUCGAACAGGAUUAGAUACCCCUGUAGUC
rnacentral:rRNA from 1 species